UGGAGGAGCACACAGAGGCAGGCUCGGCACCAGAGCUGGGGGCCCAGAAGGCCCUGAUUGACAAUCCUGCUGACAUCCUAGUCAUUGCUGCAUAUUUCCUGCUGGUCAUUGGCGUUGGCUUGUGGUCCAUGUGCAGAACCAACAGAGGCACUGUGGGCGGCUACUUCCUGGCAGGACGCAGCAUGGUGUGGUGGCCGGUGAGACGGGCUGGGCCGGGAACGGGAGGGGCCUGGAGAAGCAGCCCUGCUCACUCCCUCCUCUGGCCACCCAGGUUGGGGCCUCUCUCUUCGCCAGCAACAUCGGCAGUGGCCACUUUGUGGGCCUGGCAGGGACUGGCGCUGCAAGUGGCUUGGCUGUUGCUGGAUUCGAGUGGAAUGUGAGGCCCUCUUUUUUCCAAUAACCCCACCCUCAGUAAGAACACCUGGAAGGGUCACACCUUAGGGAAACUCCAGGAAAGGGGGAAUGAGACUGGCAGUGGGACUUCCCAACUGCGGGGUGUGGCUGGGCUGGGAGUGGAGGUCAUACAUCUAGCCAGGAAGCAGAGGGGUGCAGGGGUGACCACUGUUGGUCCUGCUUCUGACUUGCCAUGUGAGCCAGCCUGCACCAGCCACUGCCUCUGGGGGCUUCCAUUUAUUCCUCUCUGAGUGGGGUGAGCAGCCUCAAAGCCAGGGAAGCACCUGCUCAGAUGCGCUCCGAAGCUGUGGUCUGUGAGGAAUUUGGGGCCAAGUUAAAGCCCUUUGCAGAAGUGAGGAGCAGAGACAAAGCUCUGGGACUGAGGCUCCUGUUGGAGGGGAGAUUGGGCUUUGAGCUCAGGGCUUCCUGGAGGAGGAGACUGCUGAGCUGAUCCUUGAGGGACACAAGGUUUGGGUGGCUUUGGCUCAGGUCAGUCUGAGGGGUCUAUGCUGGGGUUCAUCUCUAGAUGAUCAUAGGGACAACAUUGGGAAAAACGGGCCAGAAGUGAUAGCCUGGGGAGACAAGGAGGGCUCCAGUUAAGAGCCCAGGAGGGUGUCAGCUCUGUUCCUUGGUGCCCAGGGCCCCGGGGCCAUCACCUGCAGUUGUCCUCUGGGCC
rnacentral:sRNA from 1 species